GAUCAAAGUUAAUAAGACAAAAAUGCAGCUUGUCAUGUUACAGAGAAACCGCAAAGCUCCCUGCUCUGACUGCUUUUCUGUAAGGGAACAAUUAAAGUUACAGCUUUACCUUUACCAGAUUAUUACAAAACGCUGACACUGGAGACCCCUUACAAAAAUUGUUAAAUAAAUAAAUGUUAAAUAAUGUCCUCACUUUAAACUUCAUAUCACUAAUUACACAUUGUUUAAAAAUCGUGUAUGUGUAUUCUACAAUGAUCAAGUAGGGUAAGUACUUUAAUAUAAGCUUUGCUGUCCGAUCCAUGCAGUUAUAGAAAAUUAAUCAACAUUUUUGUCCAAUAGGAUCAACUAAAUAAAUAAUACUGUUGGUCAUGUACAAUAAAUACACAAUGAGAUUGGUUUCAAUGAGUGCAUUGCAAGCAGUGCAGUAAUAUUUGAGGUCUAGUGUGAUUACUCCUCGGAAAAACACUCCUUAAUUGCUGACAUUGAACAUGAAGUUGAACUAUAAACUAAAUACAUUUUAUGUGCAAAAUCAUUAAAACAUUUCCUCGAGAUUACCUCAACUAACUUAUAACUCAGUUUAAUCUUAUAUUAAGUACUAUUUUUACACAAUGAGGAAAGCGUUUUGUGUGUUCUGAUAUCCCAGAUCAGUCAGGCCACAGUCACUGCGCCGAUUUGAACAUAUCGGAUCUUAGUUCCAAAUCAAAGCACUUCUAUUUCCUGUCAGAAUUGGUGUUCAAAGCAGAUAUGAACAAAGCUUGUUCUGUCAUUUCGUGAGCUGCUGCUCUGUGUGUCAAAGCAGGAGGAUGAAAAGAAGCCAAAGCAGAUUAAUACUGUAUAAUCUAACCAGUAGUCAUUUUGCAUUACCUCAGCCUCUUUUCUUUUUCUUUUUUUUUAUCAUUAUCAUUUGUCUUCUUGUUUUAAAAGACAGACAACACAGAGUUCAUUCUGACAAUCUGACACAAAGAGUUUGUUUAAGAGAAAUGGAUCUAGGGUGGUAAUUGUUAGUGUGUGUGUGUGUACUGUGUCUCAUCACUACAGCCAACCAUACUGCUAGAUUUUUAGUGCUUUAAACUGGUAAUUAAAGUAAAAAGACACAGUUUUGCAUGUGUUUUUCUUUUGAAAUGUAUAGACUCAUGCUACGGCUAGUGAUACGGCUAAUUAAAUGUAUGUUACAUUUUACCACUCUUCCACAUGUUCUUUAGUGGAAUGGAAGCUUGGUUAUUUUUCUUGACAUGAUUUGGUCUUAGCCAGUGUGCCAGAGCACACUGCUGCCAUGCUGCAGUCAGGCUGUGUGCUUGAAUCCAGAGUCAAUGGAGGCAUAGGUUUUGAUCACUGACACACCCCUAUAUAUAGCUUGAAAAGUGCCUUGAGACUCUAUGCACAGGAGGAGGUUCAGACCCAGACCAAUGCAGCCAAUUCCAAGACUGCUCCAGAGUUCCUGUCAAUCUUGCUAACAAGACUUUGUGGCCUAUUUUUGUUAUUUCACCUGCUAUUCCUUAGUUGGGGUGUUUGUGGUUUUUUG
ensembl:lncRNA